rnacentral:rRNA from 1 species
AACGAACGCUGGCGGCAUGCCUAACACAUGCAAGUCGAACGAGAUCUUCGGGUCUAGUGGCGCACGGGUGCGUAACGCGUGGGAAUCUGCCCUUUGGUUCGGAAUAACAGUUGGAAACGACUGCUAAUACCGGAUGAUGACGAAAGUCCAAAGAUUUAUCGCCAGAGGAUGAGCCCGCGUAGGAUUAGCUAGUUGGUGUGGUAAAGGCGCACCAAGGCGACGAUCCUUAGCUGGUCCGAGAGGAUGAUCAGCCACACUGGGACUGAGACACGGCCCAGACUCCUACGGGAGGCAGCAGUGGGGAAUAUUGGACAAUGGGCGAAAGCCUGAUCCAGCAAUGCCGCGUGAGUGAUGAAGGCCUUAGGGUUGUAAAGCCCUUUUACCCGGGAUGAUAAUGACAGUACCGGGAGAAUAAGCUCCGGCUAACUCCGUGCCAGCCGCCGCAGUAA